GAGAACCUAGUAAACAUAAUUACAUGGCUUCGUCAUAGCCAAAUCACAAACCCUGUGGUCCUCA
rnacentral:tRNA from 1 species